UACGUAGGGUCCGAGCGUUGUCCGGAAUUAUUGGGCGUAAAGAGCUCGUAGGCGGUCUGUCGCGUCGGCUGUGAAAACUCGGGGCUCAACUCCGAGCUUGCAGUCGAUACGGGCAGGCUAGAGUUCGGUAGGGGAGACUGGAAUUCCUGUUGUAGCGGUGAAAUGCGCAGAUAUCAGGAGGAACACCGAUGGCGAAGGCAGGUCUCUGGGCCGAUACUGACGCUGAGGAGCGAAAGCGUGGGGAGCGAACAGG
rnacentral:rRNA from 1 species